GUAAUAGCGCUCCGAUAGUCCGCAUUGAGAUUGGCUGCCGGGUAGUCACCCUUAUAGUUGCAUUCUGGACCACGGCGAAGUCGGGCGGCAAGUCCGACCCAUCCACUAAUAUCGAGGGGUUCGGCGUUACUUGAGGGUGAUCGACCCUCCAGAGGGGGUUAGACCUUAGGUUCGGAGUCUAAGUAAGAAUGGGUUCGCAAUACCGAUGGAAAUGGGGGAAUCCAAGAUUUCUUGCUCGAGGAGGAGCCGAUAUUGGAUUAGGUAGUUGGUGGGGUAAAGGCCUACCAAGGCAACGAUCAGUAGCUGGUCUGAGAGGCCGAUCAGCCACACUGGGACUGAGACACGGCCCAGACUCCUACGGGAGGCAGCAGUGGGUAAUAUUGGACAAUGGGGGAAAGCCUGAUCCAGCAAUGCCGGGUGAGUGAUCAAGGCCCUAGGGUUGUAAAGCUCUUUUACCCGGGAAGAUAAUGACUGUACCGGGAGAAUAAGCCCCGGCUAACUCCGUGCCAGCAGCCGCGGUAAU
rnacentral:rRNA from 1 species